ACAAACUUCAUAUGAAUUCCUUAUAUAACUAUGGUGAUAUGGACCAUAAGUCUCUACCUGGCAGCCUUAAAUUGCCGGACUAUAAGGAAAGUCAUUCUAUAC
rnacentral:ncRNA from 1 species